rnacentral:misc_RNA from 1 species
GUAGGUGAACCUGCGGAAGGAUCAUUAUUGAAUGAACUUGAUGUGGGUUGUAGCUGGCUCUCUAGGGAGCAUGUGCACGCCCCGUCAUUUUUAUAUUUCCACCUGUGCACCUUUUGUAGACCCAGAAGGCUUGAGCAAUCGAGUCGUUUGGGCCUAUGUUUAUCAUAUACCCCAUAGUAUGUAUUAGAAUGUAUCAGUGGGCUUUGUGCCUAUAAAACACUAUACAACUUUCAGCAACGGAUCUCUUGGCUCUC